rnacentral:rRNA from 1 species
UGGUGGAGUGAUUUGUCUGGUUAAUUCCGUUAACGAACGAGACCUCAGCCUGCUAAAUAGGUAGAUAAACAUUUUUGUUUAUUAUAUCUUCUUAGAGGGACUUUCGGUUUCUAGCCGAAGGAAGUUUGAGGCAAUAACA